UGCUAUUGGGCCGCUCAGGAUCAGGGCUGCCAUUAGCCUGCUCUCGUGCUGGGCGGUGCCCAGACAGCGCGGCUAUUGGCCCAUAGUGGAGCUGGGUGGUGCCCGAGCCCCGGCAACAGCGCGCAGCGGGAGGGAACGCAGACAGUCUGCCGGAGAACCUGGGCGCUAGAGUCUCCUGCGAGGUCGGUCUCCGCGGGGUUUCCCCAGGAGUGAAGCCCAGGGGAAGUGGCUCUCGUAGGGUGCCCACUGCUGGCAUCACUAAUCGCGAUACACCCGUGAGAAUGGUAUCGUCUCUCCGGUCUUUUAUCUAGUAGAUGAGAAAACAGGGUUGGGGCGCUUACCCUGUUGUCCUGGCGCUGCCGGCACAGUCGCUUCGCCCGCCGCGUAACCCUGGGAAGGAAAGCUUCCCGCCUUAAACAUCAGGACAGGCUCGAGGACAUUCAUUGCAACGCUGACGGCGGCAACCUGGACUGGAACCUGAGUCUUAACACUAGGCCGCUGCCCAUUUUGCUUUGCCCCUUUUUCAUCUGCCCCUAUUCACCGCACUUCAAGCCAAGACAGACCUGUCACCUCUCAUGCUUCGAAAUGGAUAGCUGCAAGAACUUCAAAACGUAGGCAACAUACCGCUUUUCCCUCUUCUCCGUCCUCGAAUCCUGUACACCAAAAUCGUCCUAUUGCAUAAUUUCACUCUUACCUUCAAAGAUGAACAAUUAACUAGCAAAUGGCCACAAUCUUAGUAGUCUACUAGAAUGGCGAAGAUUCGCAGUCAUUCUUGGACAAGGUCACCAGACCUUGAGUUCCAGAACAAAAAUACCUAUGAAUUACAUAUGGGAAAAAGAACAGUUUACCAUUGGAAAAACCUGGCAGAUACCACCUUAGCCAGAUGAUCAAAGUUAACUUCAUCAGUAAAUCCAACACACUGAAAUCAUCUGCCAUCUGUUGGAAUGCAGCAAGAACACAGCACCACUUCUGUGAUAUUCCCACCAAAUAUGCAUAAGCUCAACAUAAUCAUGAGGAAACAUCAGAUAACUCAACGGAGGUUGUCCAACAAAAUGACUUUCACACAAUUUUGACCAUGAAUGUCAAGGUCAUGAUAGUCAAUAAAGACUGAGGACCUGUUCCAGACUAAAAGAGAAUAAGAACAUGUCCACCAAAUGCAAUAUGUUGUUUUGAAAAAAA